rnacentral:rRNA from 1 species
AGUGAACGCUGGCGGCGUGCUUAACACAUGCAAGUCGAACGAGAACGGGUUAUAACUUGUUAUAACUGUCAGCUAAGUGGCGCACGGGUGAGUAAUGUAUAGGUAAUAUGCCUCUUACUAAGGGAUAACAAAUGGAAACGUUUGCUAAUACCUUAUACUCCUUAUUAACCUAAGUUAAUAAGGGAAAGAUUUAUUGGUAAGAGAUUAGCCUGUAUUGUAUCAGUUAGUUGGUGGGGUAAUGGCUUACCAAGACUAUGACACAUAACUGGUUUGAGAGGAUGAUCAGUCACACUGGAACUGAGACACGGUCCAGACUCCUACGGGAGGCAGCAGUGGGGAAUAUUGCACAAUGGACGAAAGUCUGAUGCAGCAACGCCGCGUGGAGGAUGACACAUUUCGGUGCGUAAACUCCUUUUAUAUGAGAAGAUAAUGACGGUAUUAUAUGAAUAAGCACCGGCUAACUCCGUGCCAGCCGCCGCCGUAA